CUACGUGCCAGCAGCCGCGGUAAUACGUAGGUCCCGAGCGUUGUCCGGAUUUAUUGGGCGUAAAGCGAGCGCAGGCGGUUAGAUAAGUCUGAAGUUAAAGGCUGUGGCUUAACCAUAGUACGCUUUGGAAACUGUUUAACUUGAGUGCAAGGGGGGAGAGUGGAAUUCCAUGUGUAGCGGUGAAAUGCGUAGAUAUAUGGAGGAACACCGGUGGCGAAAGCGGCUCUCUGGCUUGUAACUGACGCUGAGGCUCGAAAGCGUGGGGAGCAAACAGGAUUAGAUACCCUGGUAGUCCACGCCGUAAACGAUGAGUGCUAGGUGUUAGACCCUUUCCGGGGUUUAGUGCCGUAGCUAACGCAUUAAGCACUCCGCCUGGGGAGUACGACCGCAAGGUUGAAACUCAAAGGAAUUGACGGGGGCCCGCACAAGCGGUGGAGCAUGUGGUUUAAUUCGACGCAACGCGAAGAACCUUACCAGGUCUUGACAU
rnacentral:rRNA from 1 species